rnacentral:rRNA from 1 species
AAGCUCGUAGUUGAAUUUCGGGGUUAGUAGGUUGGUCAUGCCUCUGGUAUGUACUGGUCUCACUGAUUCCUCCUUCCUUAUGAACCGUAAUGCCAUUAAUUUGGUGUUGCGGGGAAUUUGGACUGUUACUUUGAAAAAAUUAGAGUGUUUAAAGCAAGCUAACGCUUGAAUACAUUAGCAUGGAAUAAUGAAAUAGGACGUUCGAUCUUAUUUUGUUGGUUUCUAGGAUUGACGUAAUGAUUAAUAGGGAUAGGUUGGGCGAGCGGGCUGGCAAGGC